UACGUAGGUGGCAAGCGUUGUCCGGAUUUACUGGGCGUAAAGAGCGCGCAGGCGGUCGUUCAAGUCGCGUGUGAAAGCCCCCGGCUCAACUGGGGAGGGUCACGCGAUACUGAUCGACUCGAAGGCAGGAGAGGUAAGCGGAAUCCUGGUGUAGCGGUGAAAUGCGUAGGAUAUCAGGAGGAACACCGGUGGCGAAGGCGGUUCUCUGGGCAUGGUCCUG
rnacentral:rRNA from 1 species